ACAUGCAAGUCGAACGCUUCUUUCCUCCCGAGUGCUUGCACUCAAUUGGAAAGAGGAGUGGCGGACGGGUGAGUAACACGUGGGUAACCUACCCAUCAGAGGGGGAUAACACUUGGAAACAGGUGCUAAUACCGCAUAACAGUUUAUGCCGCAUGGCAUAAGAGUGAAAGGUGCUUUCGGGUGUCGCUGAUGGAUGGACCCGCGGUGCAUUAGCUAGUUGGUGAGGUAACGGCUCACCAAGGCCACGAUGCAUAGCCGACCUGAGAGGGUGAUCGGCCACACUGGGACUGAGACACGGCCCAGACUCCUACGGGAGGCAGCAGUAGGGAAUCUUCGGCAAUGGACGAAAGUCUGACCGAGCAACGCCGCGUGAGUGAAGAAGGUUUUCGGAUCGUAAAACUCUGUUGUUAGAGAAGAACAAGGACGUUAGUAACUGAACGUCCCCUGACGGUAUCUAACCAGAAAGCCACGGCUAACUACGUGCCAGCAGCCGCGGUAAUACGUAGGUGGCAAGCGUUGUCCGGAUUUAUUGGGCGUAAAGCGAGCGCAGGCGGUUUCUUAAGUCUGAUGUGAAAGCCCCCGGCUCAACCGGGGAGGGUCAUUGGAAACUGGGAGACUUGAGUGCAGAAGAGGAGAGUGGAAUUCCAUGUGUAGCGGUGAAAUGCGUAGAUAUAUGGAGGAACACCAGUGGCGAAGGCGGCUCUCUGGUCUG
rnacentral:rRNA from 1 species